rnacentral:rRNA from 1 species
ACGGCUCAGUAACACGUGGACAACCUACCCUCCGGACGGGUAUAAACCCGGGAAACUGGGUAUAAUCCCCGAUAGAUCUCGGUCGCUGGAAAGCCCCGAGAUCGAAAGCUCCGGCGCCAGAGGAUGGGUCUGCGGCCUAUCAGGUAGUAGUGGGUGUAGCGUACCUACUAGCCUACGACGGGUACGGGUUGUGAGAGCAAGAGCCCGGAGAUGGAUUCUGAGACACGAAUCCAGGCCCUACGGGGUGCAGCAGGCGCGAAAACUUUACAAUGCCGGCAACGGCGAUAAGGGGACCUCGAGUGCCAGGUUACAAAUCUGGCUGUCGUGAUGCCUAAAAAGCAUUGCAUAGCAAGGGCCGGGCAAGACCGGUGCCAGCCGCCGCGGUAACACCGGCGGCUCGAGUGGUAACCGUUAUUAUUGGGUCUAAAGGGUCUGUAGCCGGCCGGAUAAGUCUCUUGAGAAAUCUGUCAGCUCAACUGUCAGGCUUUCAGGAGAUACUGUCUGGCUCGAGGCCGGGAGAGGUGAGAGGUACUUCAGGGGUAGGGGUGAAAUCUUGUAAUCCUUGAAGGACCACCAGUGGCGAAGGCGUCUCACCAGAACGGACCUGACGGCAAGGGACGAAAGCUAGGGGCACGAACCGGAUUAGAUACCCGGGUAGUCCUAGCCGUAAACGAUACUCGCUAGGUGUCGGCCACGGUGCGACCGUUGUCGGUGCCGUAGGGAAGCCGUGAAGCGAGCCACCUGGGAAGUACGGCCGCAAGGCUGAAACUUAAAGGAAUUGGCGGGGGAGCACCACAACGGGUGGAGCUUGCGGUUUAAUUGGAUUCAACGCCGGA